GACUGCUCCGGUGGCCUAGUGGUUAGAGUAUCCGCCUCGGAUGCGGGAGGUCGUGGGUUCGAACUCCGGCCGAGUCA